rnacentral:lncRNA from 1 species
AUGUUAAUCACGAGUGUGAUAAACCAGCUACAAUUCAGAAAAACGGUUUGUUCCUUAGAGCCUUCUGUUAAUUCACAGAACUAUCAUACACAGAACUUAAAAGAAGAAAAUGCAAGAUGCAAUACCAAAGUUAGAUGCAAUUAAGGGAGAAACCACUAGUCCAAGACUUUAUUGCUUGAGGUGACUUCAGAUUUUGUUUGGCAAACCUUUUUUUUUUUUUUCCCCCUGCUAGCGCUUUCAUUUCAAUUCUUUACUCUUUCCCACAUUUUAGCCAAGUCAUUGGCUCAGUUGGCAGAUGACAGAGCAUCCUUGUAGCUAAAAUUGCAUUUGUCAUUUUGGUAUCAAUAUGUCCUGUCUCUUAGGAUUGCUGUAGUCUUGUCUCUAAGUGAAACUAUCUGUCUUUAUUUCCCUUCUGAGUGAGAUUUAUGACGGAAAGCAUUCAAAUUGCUCAUCUCUAAUUCAGUCAUCAUUCUGCCACUAAAAUGUCUCAGAAUUUUCCCUUUACUGCAGAAGAAAUAUUCUCUCCUUUUUGCUGUUCAACUAUCCUCUCCUGACUUUUGUCUAUAAAAUGGGCUGCACCAGAUAGGGAAGGGGUUUAGGGAAUAUCCAGGCCAACUUGGGGUAAACAUCUUCCCAGCUAUAGCUGGGUCCAUCAAAGACACCUCAAUUCAUAGCUGAUUCAUACUCAUUCUCUCUCCUUAGUCUUCAAAUUUUGCUUAGGCAACUGACUAAAGUCAGAAUGCUCUAACUUUAGAGCUUGUCUUGAGAGCAUUUUAGAACAUGUCUAUUAGACAUUCAGUCUAAUAUUUUGCAAAGAGCAAAUAUCAAGAAAACACUCGGCUAGGCCGGGCGCGGUGGCUCAAGCCUGUAAUCCCAGCACUUUGGGAGGCCGAGACGGGCGGAUCACGAGGUCAGGAGAUCGAGACCAUCCUGGCUAACACGGUGAAACCCCGUCUCUACUAAAAAGAUACAAAAAAUUAGCCGGGCGAGGUGGCGGGCGCCUGUAGUCCCAGCUACUCGGGAGGCUGAGGCAGGAGAAUGGCGUGAACCCGGGAGGCGGAGCUUGCAGUGAGCUGAGAUCCGGCCACUGCACUCCAGCCUGGGCGACAGAGCCAGACUCUGUCUCAAAAAAAAAAAAAAGAAAAAGAAAACACUAGGCUAAUUAAUUGUACAGAAAGGAAUAAUUCCAAUACAAAAGUUUCAUAAAACAGACUCAACAUAU